rnacentral:rRNA from 1 species
CCGUAGCCCAAGAGAUCGGGAUAACACCUGGAAACAGAUGCUAAUACCGGAUAACAACAGAUGAUGCCUAUCAACUGUUUAAAAGAUGGUUCUGCUAUCACUCUUGGAUGGACCUGCGGUGCAUUAGCUAGUUGGUAGGGUAACGGCCUACCAAGGCGAUGAUGCAUAGCCGAGUUGAGAGACUGAUCGGCCACAUUGGGACUGAGACACGGCCCCAAACUCCUCGGGAGGCAGCAGAC